UACGAAGGGAGCUAGCGUUGUUCGGAAUCACUGGGCGUAAAGCGCACGUAGGCGGAUGUGUCAGUCAGGGGUGAAAUCCCGGAGCUCAACUUCGGAACUGCCUUUGAUACAGCACGUCUUGAGUCCGAUAGAGGUGGGUGGAAUUCCUAGUGUAGAGGUGAAAUUCGUAGAUAUUAGGAAGAACACCGGUGGCGAAGGCGGCCCGCUGGAUCGGUACUGACGCUGAGGUGCGAAAGCGUGGGGAGCAAACAGG
rnacentral:rRNA from 1 species